GUAGUUUAAUUCCAGUGAGAAAAAAUGCAUGUAUGGUGCAGGUCCAUCGUUCCCAAACGGCUUAACUCACACUUUGGGGAGGGGACAAAGCAUCUUAUGGACAUAAAGUUCCCCGGAACAUUCUUGAGAAAAUGCUUGCCUGGGAAUGCGUUUCGCCUUCCCUCUCUGACUAAGGGAGAAUACACUUAGAGCUGGAAGAAAGGGUUUGGGGCUGAAAAAUUAGAGUAACUGGCCCUGGAAGCUGCCGACUGGCCAGAUGUUGUAGGGAUGCAACUUGUUGAGUUGUGGAUGUGAUUUCUUUGGACGCAUAUACCACGAAUCCCUUGAGACCUAAGGAGAAACAUAGUCUUAUUUUGAUUCAGUAUAAAAACUCAACUUGGGUUGAUUUCAGGGGAGCCAAGACUGGCCUACAGAGGAAGUAUGCAUAUUUGGAAGAGCUGGGAAAGUCCUUAAGAAAGCUCCUUCAUGUAGCAAGUAUCUCCCAGCUGGAGAUUAGGAGGUCACUAUUUCAGAUUUAUUUCUUGCGAUUAAAUCUGUUCUUCAGCCAAGACUGUUUCCUUCAGUUACAAGUGUCUCUGGAGGGAUGAAUGAGAGAGGCAGACCCGUGCGAUGGCCGAGCACCCAGUUUCAAAAUGUCCUAUCUGGUCCCAUCCAGGCUCUGCCACUUCUUAACAAUAAUCUGGGAACGUCCCUGUCCUCUAAGUCUAAAUGUCUUCAUCUGUAAAAUGAAGGUAAUAGUAAUGUCCACUUCUUAAAAAUCUAGUAAAGAUUAUAAUGUUGCAUAAAUAAAGCAUUUUGCUCAGUGACUCACUAGCCCACAGUAAGUGCUCAAUAAACCUUAGCUAUUAUGUAUGACAGGCUAUUAUUAACCCUUAUUGGCCCUUAUCAUUAGAGCACAUUUAAUUUACCAGAUUGAUUUCCACAGCGAUAGCUCCCUAGGAAUAGUGGACAGGACAGAGGGAGAGAGAGAGAAAUCUUCCUUGCUCCAUGAGGAAGAUACAGCGAUAGUGUGUAUACAGGUCAGGCAAGAGAGGCAAGUUUAGGCAUGAGAUGUUCCUAGAUUCCAGUCCUGAUUUUGCUACUUGAAGUUCUGGGGAUAAUGGGAAUUUACUUAGUUCUCUGGGCCUCAGGUUCUAUUUCCAUAAAAAAGUGGAAAGUAAUCCUACCAUCUUUCUAAAGCACUAGCUGGAAUAAGGUAGGGAGAGAAUAAAUGAGUACAUGAUAAAUAACAGCUACCUUAUGUGGGGCUCAACCCAUUGGAGCUCUUCUUCACGGGAAGGCGCUGGGUACCAGGUGGGAGCUGAGCAUCCCAGGGAAGAAGACAGCGCAGUGUGGCAGGUGGUCCUUAGAAUGGGAGAGAGAAGUGAAUCAAGGACAAUCCUCACUUCACAAUUUUAUUCUAAGUCACUGUCGAAGUAUUUUGGUUACACUGAAGCUUUCUUUCUUUUUCAUCAUAUCAUGGACAUAUAUGGGAGUGAUGGCUUUUAAUGCUUUGGACUCAGCUUGCUGCAAACUGCACACAAAUCUGAUGAAGGAGUGAACACAGCUGGUGUCAGAGGCUGGGAGGAUCCUAGUUCCCCAACCAGGGAUCAGACCCACAGCCAUUGCAGUGGAAGCAGAGUCUUAACCACUGGACCACCAGGGAAGUCCUUGCCAUUGCCUUCUAAUGGGUGGCCUUAGUAUCUGAAGGGGCCGUCUCUUUUGCUGAGGUCUCAAUGUGAGCCUAGGAGUUAAGAGGAUGUUGGAUAGGGUGGAUAUAAAUUGUUCUGGUAAGAAACAGAAGAGAUAUAGAUGCCUGGGGAAAUAUCCUGGAAUGUGAAAGCCUAGAGCUACCUGGGAUGGAAAUUGGAGGGGGAAGGACUGAGAAGGAACCCCUCUGGUUGGAUGAAAAGUUUGGGGUGGAAGAAACAUGCUGAAUUGGGAUGUUUGAAUUUGUGUGUUGAGAGCUGGGCUGUCUGACUUCCCUGGGAAAUGGUGGUUACUGGCUGAGAAGUCUAUCCUUAUGGAUAUCUGAACCUAUUUCUCCCCACUUUUCUCCAAGAAAACAAUCCAUAAACAUUUUUCCAAAAUUAGCCUUCCUGCAAAAGGAUGACUUCUCCCUGUUGCAUGUCUCAUCACGAGAGAAGAGUGUAACACUCAAUUCUGUUUGUGUGAUGAAUUUUGUGAUGAACAGGCAUGUGGAACAGUUUCUCUCAUUUCUAGCUGUCCACGCUAAUAAGCCUGAUUCUUGCUGCAUUUUGGAGGAAGAAGAGAAGGGCGUCGUUGGGCUCAUAUGCAUUUGCUGUGGCUCCACCCAGAUGUUCCACCAGGUGACCUCCAUGUGGAUGGGUGCCUGCUUCUUAUCAGCCUCUCUCACUCAAAAGCUCCAUUAGACUGCGGAUCUAGUCUACCCUGUUAACUGCUGUAUUCCCAGUGUUCAGAACAGUGUCACGUGGUAGGCCUUUAACAUUUGUUGAACAAGUGAAUAAAAUAUAGUUCAGCUUCUAUAUUUCUUUUGCUUUCUAAAGUUGCAGUUUGUAUAUGCUGCACUGGCUGAAAAUAUAGGUUCUGUAUAGAUUAGUUUAUCCUCAUUGCAAUAAUUAAAAAAUUGUAUGAUAAUAAUGAACUGACAAAAUGACUUUCAAUUUCCCUUUCUAAUCUUACUGUUUCCAUACCAAAGGAUUUCAAGUGUUCCCACAAAUCACCAUCGUCAUACAAACAAGUAAAGUAAAAAUCAACAUCUCAAAACAAUCCCAAGUUUCAAAAUUUAACAGCUGAGAGAAGGAAAUUAAGAUAGGAAGGGCUGGGCUUGGUUUGUACUUGCAGUUUCUUUUCACUUGCUAAUGGAUACCUUACUUUUCCUCUUUAUGACAUGCAGACUGCGAUUUCCAGUAAUAUAUUUAAUUUAGUCCAGCUAUAAUAAAAUAUACCUUUUUUGUGAAUGCACUUAACAUCUACAAAGUACUGGAUGGGAAAUAGCUCAAAGCAGAAAAAUAUUUUGGUUAAAGAUUGAAGCAAAAUACAUUAAAAAUUUACUUGAAAAUUUGUCAAGUUCAAAAACAUCUCUCACCAAAGGAAUAUUAACUAAUAUCCACUGAUUAAAUUAAAAACUGAAAGAUGAAAAUUAUGUAGACAUUUAGCUCAAGAUACUCGAGAAAAAAAGACAGAGUAAACAAAAAACAAGGGAAAGGAAGAAAUGAAAAUAAAUGUAGAAAUUAGUGAGUUAGAAGGCAAGUACUCAUACUCUAAGGUAAAAAGCUAAUGAGCUUGACUAUGUCAAAAUUAAAGACUCCUGCUAAAUAAAAGGCAACAUAGAAAAGCUGAGAUGCACAGUAUAUUAAGAGAAGGUAUUUGCAAUAUUUAUAACUGACAAGUAAUAAAUCUAGAAAACACAAGGAAUUCCUGCAAAUGGAUAAAAACAGCAACAUCAACCACCACCACAAAUGAAAUACCCUGGAAGAAAAUGAGUGAAGAUUCCUAGAAAUAGAAAGCAGAAUGGAUAACAAGCAUAUCAACAGACGGUUAACCUCACGAUAGGAACUUGAUGAAAAUAAUGAGAAAACAUUAGCUCCCUUAAGAAGAGUAAAUAAUUAGAAAAUCAGGUUGUUGGGCCGCACCCCGCAGGCUUGCACGCCUUAUAGUUGCCCAGCCUUGAGACUGAAGAAAGAGACCAGAGACGGCGACAGAGACAGCAACAGUUCAUUGGACAGGGGUCUUACCGGUCUGAAGCAGAAGGGUCCUGGAGCGACAUCCCACUGUGAACUGCAGACCGCCAGGCAGGACAUGGCAACCAUUUGCACUAUCUGGGGGAGAAGGAGGCUACCAUUUACAGGCGGAAUUGACAUCUGAUUGGCCCAUCAAUUACCAGGGAAACCAGCGGCUGGGGCAGAGGCAAGCAUGUAGGCAGGGACUAAUUAAGCCCUGUAAUCAAGCGUAUUGGCGGUCCGGUGGUUAAGACUCCGCGCUUCCAAUUCAGGGCGUGAGGGUGCGUUCCCUGGUUGCGGAGCUAAGAUCCCGCAUGCUGCAUGGCACGGCCAGGGGAAAAAAAAAAAAAAAAAAGAGUAUUGGAUAGUCAUGUGUGUCAAGCAGGGCCGGUUGAGCAGGAGAUGUACAGAGAGCAAGAGAACAGCCAUCUUGGAUGGCCUGACUAUACGCAGAUAUUAUUACCAUGUUAGCAGGGAUGUGUGGGAAAUAAGAACCUCCUUGCACUGCAGGUGGAGAGCAACCUAGACAUAUUGGAGAAAUGGCCUGUCUACAUACUGCAAUUAGCAACAUUUCUGGGUAUAACUCAGGGCUAUGGCAUGGAAUUUUGGCCCUUUAGGGAAAAUUGUUUUCGGGUCUCCUAUCAAGGGUGGACUUCCUCAAACACCUUUACAUGGGAUUUGUACUGAUAUCACGCUAGGCCCUUGUACCCUUCCAGAUGGUUGGUAAUUUGUAUCAGCUCCUCCCACCCCUCAUUUUCCCUCUGUAUAGCAUUGAGAAAGUCUCACACAGAUUCUUAAGAGGAUGUGUUAGAGGAUAUUCAUUGAAGAGGUGUCCAUGUUAGCAGGUGUCCAUCCCUCGGGGCAUGGAUAAGUUAAGGAUGGUGCACAUAUGACAUGGAAUACUACACACCUGUUAGAAGAGAUGAAUUAGAUGAGUACUGUUGUAGGCUGAAUAAUGGUCCUCUAAGGAUGGCCACGUUUUAAUCCCCAGAACCUGUGCAGAUGUGAUUAAGUAAUGUUAAGAGUCUUGAGGUGGGGGAAGAGUAUCCUGGAUUACCCAGGUGGGCCCAGUGCAAUAACAGGAGUCCUUAACAGAGGAAGGCAGUAGGAUCACAGGAGUAGGAGAUGUAAUGAAGGAAGCAAGAAGCUGGCAUGAAGGAAGGGGUCAUGAGCCCAGGAAUGCAGGUGGCCUCUGGAAGCUGAAAAAGUCAAGGACACAAGAUUCUUCCCUAAGAGUCUUUGAAAAAACCAACCCUGGCAACGCUUUGACGUUAGCCCAGUGACUUAAGGUGGUAGUUGAUAUUAACUUUGAACUUCUGAUCUCCAGAACCAUACGAUAAUAACUUUUGUUGUUUUAAGCUUCUGAAUUUGAGAUAAUUUGUUAUGGCAGCAAUAAGAAACUAAUAUAAGCAUACAAUAUGGAUAGGUUUAAAAAUUACAGAGUGAAAUAAAUAAAAAAGAUAUUAUGUUUUUCUAGAAAACACACUGAUCCAAGAACUGGAAGAAGUCUAUUUAGGAGAAAGGAAUGGGGGUAGGGAUUACAGUAAAGUAAAAAAAUAAAUAAAAGAAUUGAAAUAGAGAGUCUUGUACAGAGCAAUUGUAAAAAUGAGUCAUAAAGAAGGAAGUAUGAUUAACUCUUAUCUCUGCACCUGAGAUUCCCUGUAACACUCCUCCUAUCAAAUUAAAAAAAGAAAGAAAGAAAGAAAGAA